GAUCAUGGCUCAGGACGAACGCUGGCGGCGUGCUUAACACAUGCAAGUCGAACGCUGAAGGCUCAGCUUGCUGGGCUGGAUGAGUGGCGAACGGGUGAGUAACACGUGAGUAACCUGCCCUCUUCUUUGGGAUAACGGUCGGAAACGGCUGCUAAUACCGGGUAUUCACUGUCCUUCGCAUGGGGGUGGUGGAAGGUUUUUACUUGGUGGGGGAGUGGGCUCGCGGCCUAUCAGCUUGUUGGUGGGGUGA
rnacentral:rRNA from 1 species